AGAAGACUGUCGGUAGAGAAAAAGAUGAAGAAUCAGCUGACUUUAUUGAAGACAAAAGGAAAGAACAAAGGGCUGAUGAGCAGCGCUCCGUUUCCAUCCUGCUUUCCUCGUGGUGACAUCUGACGGGGGCGUUUGACCCCUGCUGUAGCAGCCGGGAGGAGCGCAGCCCUCGCAGGUGUGACCUCAUUUAUGUGCGAGUUGCCGUGUGCUUUGCUA